rnacentral:rRNA from 1 species
UACAGAGACUGCAAGCGUUAUUCGGAUUCACUGGGCGUAAAGGGUGCGCAGGCGGCCAGGUGUGUCAGGUGUGAAAGCCCGGAGCUUAACUCCGGAAUUGCGCCUGAAACUACUUGGCUAGAGCAUUGGAGAGGGUAGCGGAAUUCACGGUGUAGCAGUGAAAUGCGUAGAUAUCUGGAGGAACACCGGUGGCGAAGGCGGCAUUCUGGACCGACAUUGACGCUGAGGAGCGAAAGCCAGGGGAGCAAACGGG